GGAGGUUGACUUAGAGCCUCCGGCACGUGCGUGUUAAUAGUGUCAGCUUUUGGCCGAGCUGUACGGUUAGUGAAUC
rnacentral:ncRNA from 1 species